CACAGGUCACACUGGGGAGCUGCCCAGGGCACCGACAGCCGGGGCCUGCUGGCACACACAGCACCACACGGACAAGCACAGGUCACUUCUGCAAGGGAAGCAUUAGAGAGCCUUCUCCUCAUGGGACACUGCUCAGCAGGAGCAGCCACUGACGAGUUCCUUCCCAAAUUCCUCAAUCCCAUCCUUCCCUGGGCAUGUGGAGGGAUUUUUCCUACAAAGUGUGGAAGAGAAAUGGAAGAGGGGGGGACAUCCGUGGUUUUACCCUCAAAGGAGAGCUACCAUUGACCAUGGCUCCUCCUGGGGACUCCCAGGGCUCUGCAGUGGAGGAGAAAGUCCUGGGACUUGGCCAGGCACCAACCUGGCUCUGCUCUUUGAAGCAGCACGUGCGAGUCAGUCCUGCAUGGAACCCCAGGGCCAGUUCUGCCUCCUCCCUGGGCCCAGGCUCCAGAUUGCCCUGCUCUUUGGCCACGUCCCUCAUCUCCACUGAGCUCUUUGCGGGUGAUUAUACCUGAUGGAUCCCACCAUCCCACCAAUUCCAACACAGUUUGGAGGGCAGUGACCCUGGGCGAGGGCCCCUCUGCCAGGAAUCCCUGCCCUACUGGCAGCAACACUGAACCCUUGAGCACCAGAUCUUGUGCCAGGUCUGCUGCUGGAAAACAGAUUUUGCACAAAAUCCAGGAAUUCAGAUGAGUCCAAAGCUAUGAAUUGGGGCUCAACUUCCACAAGACAGCCUGGAGAAACCCCAGAGAGGGAGAAGGUCCUGCCCUGCAGAUGGAGCCAGGCCCAGCUGGGAGAGGCAGGAGCUGGGCUGAGCAUUCCCCAUUCCCCCUCAGGAGUGAUCCAGGGACACCCCGUGCCCCCCCAGUGUGUCAGGGUGGGCAGGGGUCCCAGGGCUGGGACACAGCACGUACCAUACUUAGCUGCCUUUGCUGCUGCUGCUGCCGAUGGCACUCCUGGGGACAAGAGAGACAGGGACCCUCAGCCACCAUGGCCCCACAGAGCCAGGCCAUGGGGACAGGGCUCCUGGAACAGUCACCUGCCACCCCGGGGACACCUCCGACACCAGGCACCGCCCCGGGGACACCUCCAACGCCAGGAACCAAGCCAGGGACACCUCCGACUCCGGGCACGGCCCCUGGACCUGGAGGGAAGCAGAAUGGUCAGACACCCCACAAACACCCCUCUCUGCCAGCCCUGGGGACACGGUCUGCCCUGGUCACAGGAGUCUCUUGGGCACUGGCUUUGUGGUGGGCUCCUCACUCAUCCUAAAGCAGAUUCACAGGGACCCUGGGAUGCACCCGGGAAUUUGAUUCUCAGCUCUCUGCAGCCAUCAGGGGCUUGGCCACCCUGGAUGUUUGGGAUUUCCAGUGUCCCCCAGUCUGUGGCUGUACAGCCAGAGCUGGCACGUGUUCCCUGAAUUCUCCAGGGUGUGAUUUGCUCCUCACUUUUCUCCCACGGAAGAGCCAAGGAGGAGAGCAGUGGAGAUCUGCAUCACCAGGAGCAUCCCUCAGUGGGGAAGGACAGCUCAGCACAGACACCGUGUCCCCGGUCACCCCGCUGGCAUCUGGCAAACCCGCAUCUCCUGGAGACACCGUGUGUGACGGGC
rnacentral:lncRNA from 1 species